AAAGGUAGAGGACUUACUCUUCGGAGUGAGAGCGUACACAGGUGCUGCAUGGCUGCCGUCAGCUCGUGUCGUGAGAUGUUGGGUUAAGUCCCGCAACGAGCGCAACCCUGCAUUCAGUUGCCAUCGGUAAGGCCGGGCACUCUGGAUGGACUGCCGGCGACAAGCCGGAGGAAGGUGGGGACGACGUCAAGUCAUCAUGGCCCUUAUGUCCAGGGCGACACACGUGCUACAAUGGCCGGCACAACGGGAAGCGAAGGGGCGACCCUGAGCGGAUCCCACAAAAGCCGGUCCCAGUUCGGAUUGCAGUCUGCAACUCGACUGCAUGAAGUUGGAAUCGCUAGUAAUCGUGGAUCAGCCAAGCCGCGGUGAAUACGUUCCCGGGCCUU
rnacentral:rRNA from 1 species